rnacentral:rRNA from 1 species
AUGGCAAUGUUCUAUUUUCUGCAUUAUUUUUGUUGGCAUUUGGUUUUGGUUCUGCAGCUGAAGUUUGGCAUAAUACUUCUUUGUGAUAUCAGAGAAACCAGUGAUAGUCGAAGUUGGAAAUCAAAUGGCUUGUUUGCUGUUAGUGUGAUUGGUGGUUGUAACUGUUGGCUUAAUUGUGUCUUUCGUACCCCAAAUGCAAAUAGUAAAGGAAAUGUUUUUUCAUGGCGCAAAUGUGCAUGGCUGUUAGCAGUCAGGUCAUAUAUUCCACGUGGUUGCAUAUUGUUCCAUUUGGAAGGCGAUGACAGUAUAUGCAUGCUUGCCUAUUUUUGGCAGCAUGGAAGUCAGACAAGAUAUUUCUGUUUUUCCAUUAGUUAA